rfam:Pteropus alecto contig6107, whole genome shotgun sequence.
GUCUAUGGCCAUGCUACCCUGAACAUGCCUGAUCCUGUCUGAUCUUGGAAACUAAGCAGGGUCAGGCCUGGUUAAUACUUAGAUGGGAGACUACCUAGGAAGACCAGGUGCUGUAGGCG